UGGGGAGCGUCAGGUAAUGUGCGAGAAUUACAGCCCGCGACUACUUACCAGUCAGCGAAUCCUACCGAUAGUGAUAUUACUCACACGGUUAGGCUAACUACUUCUGGUAAACCCACUCCCAUGGUGUGACGGGCGGUGUGUACAAGGCAGGAACGUAUUCACCCGCAACAUGCUGAUCCGCGGUUAUGGCGAUUCAAACUACACGCAGUCAGGUUGCGAACUACUUUGAUCGGACUACGAUCAGGUUUCUAGGAUUGGCUCCCCUCGCGGGUUGGCGGCCACUCUGUCCCGGCCAUUGUACCGGCGAUAUGAAGCUACCCAUAAGGAGCCAUGAGACAACGUCAUCCCCACCUUCCUCCCGGUUGUCUGGCGAAGUCUCAUUAGAGUGCCCUUUCAUGCUCAACUAAUGACAGGAGUUGCGCUCGUUGCAGGACUUAACCCAACAUCUCACGACACAGCUGACGACCUUCACUUCACAGCACCUGUGUUUCACGGUUCUCUUACGGCUUUCCCAAUCUCUUCCGGUUCCCAGACAUGUCAAGGGUAGGUAAGGUUUUCGCGUUUGCAUCGGGUAAUCCACAUCAUCACCGCUUGUGCGGGUCCCGUCAAUUCCUUUGAGGUUUUUAAUCUUGCGACCGUACUCCCCAGGCGGUCAACUUCCGCGUUAGCUGCGCUACCAAGGCGAGGCUAACAACCGUUGACAUCGUUUAGGAGCUGGUGAGACUGCCAGAAUUAAUAAUCCUGUUUUGCUCCCCGCGCUUUUCGUGCAUGAGCAGUCAGUGUUAUCCCAGGAAGGCUGCCUUCGCCAUCGAUUGUUCCUCGCAUAUCUACACUUGUUCACUACUUUACACGCCGGGUGCCUCCUCUGACACACUCUAGCUCUGAUGAUUAAAAAUGCGGUUCAGAAGUUGAAACAAGGUUUCCAUCUUUCUUUCGAACCGCCUGCGCACGCUUUACGCCAGUAAUUUCGAUUGACAUUUACUUUACGUAUUGCCGCGUAUGGCUGUAGUUAGCCGGUGCUUAUUCUGCAGGUACUAAAUCAGUUACUUUGAGGGUAUUAUCCCGUGCCGGUUUCUUCUGCCGAGUUGGCACACAACCAGGGGCCUUAAAAUACACAGCGGGAUGGCGCGGAUCAGGGUUUUCCCCCCAUUGUCCAGAAUUCCCCACUACUUGCCCAUCGUAGAGAUCUGGGCAAAUGUCUCUCAGUCCCCCAGUGUGGCUGGUCGUCCUCUCAAACCAGCUACAGAUCGUCCGCCUUGGUAGGCCGUUGCCCCCACCAACUAGCUAAUCCGAUAUCAGCCGCUCUAAUGGUGCGGGCCAGAAAAUUCCCCGCUUUCCCCGAAGGGCCGUGUGCGGUAAUGGCUACGCGGCUUUCGCGUAAGAUUAUCCCCCGCUACUAGGCACGUUCCGAUGCAUUACUCGCCCGUUUAAGUAAGCUCGCCGCAGACCGAAGUCCGUGCCGUUCGACUUAUGUGUAAGCAUCCGCCGAAAGCGUUCAAUCUGAGCCAGGAUCGAACU
rnacentral:rRNA from 1 species